rnacentral:rRNA from 1 species
CCUACGGGAUGCUGCAGUGAGGAAUAUUGGUCAAUGGACGAGAGUCUGAACCAGCCCAGUAGCGUGAAGGCUGACUGCCCUAUGGGUUGUAAACUUCUUUUAUAUGGGAAUAAAAUGUUCCACGUGUGGGCUUUUGUAUGUACCCUAUGAAUAAGGAUCGGCUAACUCCGUGCCAGCAGCCGCGGUAAUACGGAGGAUCCGAGCGUUAUCCGGAUUUAUUGGGUUUAAAGGGAGCGUAGGUGGAUUGUUAAGUCAGUUGUGAAAGUUUGCGGCUCAACCGUAAAAUUGCAGUUGAAACUGGCAGUCUUGAGUACAGGAGAGGUGGGCGGAAUUCGUGGUGUAGCGGUGAAAUGCUUAGAUAUCACGAAGAACUCCGAUUGCGAAGGCAGCUCACUGGACUGCAACUGACACUGGGGCUCGAAAGUGUGGGUAUCAAACAGGAUUAGAUACCCCUGUAGUC